rnacentral:rRNA from 1 species
GGAAUAUUGGUCAAUGGGUGAGAGCCUGAACCAGCCAUGCCGCGUGCAGGAAGACGGCCUUCUGGGUUGUAAACUGCUUUUACCAGGGGAUAAAAUGACCUUGCGAGGUUAAUUGAAGGUACCUGGAGAAUAAGCCCCGGCCAACUACGUUCCAGCAGCCGCGGUAAUACGUAGGGUGCAAGCGUUGUCCGGAUUUAUUGGGUUUAAAGGGUGCGUAGGCGGGCUAUUAAGUCAGUGGUGAAAUCCAGCAGCUUAACUGUUGAUGUGCCAUUGAUACUGGUGGCCUUGAGUACAGAUGAGGUAGGCGGAAUUGACAGUGUAGCGGUGAAAUGCAUAGAUAUUGUCAAGAACUCCGAUAGCGAAGGCAGCUUACUGGGCUGUAACUGACGCUGAUGCACGAAAGUGUGGGGAUCAAA